UGAAGGGGUUUUAUCUGUACCUGGGAUGACGGACUGCAGGUGGAACGUCACAUUGACACCAAGCUGAAGGGGUUUUAUACCUGGGAUGACGGACUGCAGGUGGAACGUCACAUUGACACCAAGCUGAAGGGGUUUUAUACCUGGGAUGACGGGCUGCAGGUGGAACGUCACAUUGACACCAAGCUGAAGGGGUUUUAUACCUGGGAUGACGGACUGCAGGUGGAACGUCACAUUGACACCAAGCUGAAGGGGUUUUAUACCUGGGAUGACGGGCUGCAGGUGGAACGUCACAUUGACAC